UAUACUUAAAAUAUAUUCAUAAAGCCGCGCAAAUGACGUCAGCGUCCACGACUCCUAUCCCAGUUCCCGCCAUCUCCCACCAGCAUUUGCUGUUUUCCGUUUGUGGAGGUAAGUAGCACAUUAUUUCAGAAUCUUAAGAAUGCAUUAAAACGCGAUAUAUUAUUAAUUUAUGAAAAGCCAUAAAGCCCCAAAUGACUCGAUGGGAAGUAUGAUUACAGCAGGUAGAAUUUUACAAUGUUUCAAAUGGAGGACAAACAUAAAUCUGACAGAUUCAGUGGUUUUGGAAAGAAUUUCCAUACGUAUUAAUAGGACAUUUUUGAUUAUCUUUAGGCUAUUUGUUUGGUCGACAAGAGAUAUAAAUUCUUCCAUACUUGUAGACAAAUCUUCUUCCAUAAAGAAUUUAUCGACAACUAUCAGAUUUAGAUUCAAUUUUUUUUUGUCAUUACACUUGCAUAAAUACAAGGUCAUGUAUAAACACAAGGUAAGAAAAUGUGUUUUAGCAUCUCAUCAGAAGUGCAAGGAACAGCAAGUACGAUAUAUACAAAAUGUGGAAUAUAUACAGAAUAGAAUAGAAAGAAAGAAUAAGAAAGAAAGACCAAAGCUUAAAGGCGAACAACAAUGAUUUCAUAGGGCCAGUAAUUACAGAGAUAUGAACCAUAAAUGAGGUCAACAAACUACAAUUUGACAACUAAACAGCAAAUACCACCAUAGGAUUUGAACCAACAGCUUCAUUUUAAACUAAAGGAUUAGAAUUAGGUAUGUCAUAGAAAAUUAUCAUGGCACAUAAACUCCACCCAUUUAUAAAGACUUAAUUCUUUGAAAUUGAUGUAAUGCAGUGAUUACCAAUGUAUACCAUUCUUACCUGUGCAAUCUAUGUUUUUUUUUUCCACCCGGUCCAGCACAUCAUCAGAUCUGUAUUUACUAGGUAUACAUUAGAGCACAGCACAAAGGCACUUUUAAGAGCCCAUCUGUCUUUCUGUCUUUCUGUCUGUUCUGCUUUUCUAUUGUAUUGUGGUUCUUUCUCUGUGUCUUGUUCCUGUCGCUUGCAUUUCUCUGUCUUUGUCACUGUCUUUGUCAAUUUGUUGUCUGUUCUGAUCAUCAUGAGCGAUUCGGAGCUGCAGGAGUUACUGCAGAGUGAGGUCAGUGAUGAUCUUAAGGGGGUUGAUGAGUUCCUCUGCAAGCUGCAGAAGGAGGCUACUGCUGUUCAAGAGGCUGCAGUGCCAAUGGUGAGGUGGAAGAAAAGGAGAAAUGAUGGAAGCCGUAUCUGUACAAAGCCACGAUAUCAAAUAGGAAGCAACCUUCUAAGGCUGAUUGUAGCCGCCUGCCUCAAGCAGAUGCUGCUCCGAACCUGACUGAGGUGGUCUUCACUCCUGAGACAAUUGAGGAGUUUAUGCUGGAGCUCCAGCAUGCCUUAAGUGAUGCUACAGUGGAUCAGUUGGAGGAAGAACUACCUCAUCAAACUUCUCCUCAAGCAUCGUCAGAGUGGAGCAAACGAAAGUGCAUGUUUGC